rnacentral:rRNA from 1 species
AGUGUACGCUGGCGGUAGGCCUAACACAUGCAAGUCGAACGGCAGCACAGUAAGAGCUUGCUCUUACGGGUGGCGAGUGGCGGACGGGUGAGGAAUACAUCGGAAUCUACUUUUUCGUGGGGGAUAACGUAGGGAAACUUACUCUAAUACCGCAUACGACCUACGGGUGAAAGCAGGGGAUCUUCGGACCUUGCGCGAUUGAAUUAGCCGAUGUCGGAUUAGCUAGUUGGCGGGGUAAAGGCCCACCAAGGCGACGAUCCGUAGCUGGUCUGAGAGGAUGAUCAGCCACACUGGAACUGAGACACGGUCCAGAGUCCUAAGGGAGGGAGCAGUGGGGAAUAUUGGACAGUGGGCGCAAGCAUGAUCCAGCCGUACCGCGUGGGUGAAGAAGGCCUUCGGGUUGUAAAGCCCUUUUGUUGGGAAAGAAAAGCAGCAGGUUAAUACCCCGCUGUUCUGACGGUACCCAAAGAAUAAGCACCGGCUAACUUCGUG